UACGGAGGGUGCAAGCGUUAUCCGGAAUCACUGGGUUUAAAGGGUGCGUAGGCGGCGCGAUAAGUCAGUUGUGAAAUUCCCCGGCUUAACCGGCGGAACUGCGAUCGAUACUGUCGUGCUUGAAUCAGGUUGAGGUAGGCGGAAUGUGGCAUGUAGCGGUGAAAUGCUUAGAUAUGCCAUAGAACACCGAUUGCGAAGGCAGCUUGCUGGACCUCGAUUGACGCUGAGGCACGAAAGCGUGGGGAGCAAACAGG
rnacentral:rRNA from 1 species